rnacentral:lncRNA from 1 species
UCGUUAAGAAAGUGUGAGGCGAAGAUAAAUUGGAGUUAACUACUGUUAAGAAGAAAAAGAGAAUAAACAGAAAUUUUUUGCUUCUUUUGUGAAAGGAGGAAUUGGAUUUAUAAGGUAAUUCUUUUAUAUUAUUAUCUAUUAUUAAAUGUUACAAUCAAUUAUUUUGGGUUCUUGUGUUUGUCGGCACUGAAGCCAUUCUGAUGAUUAUUAUUAAUUUUCAUUCGAAUUCAUGUCAUAUAAGCCAUAAGCAUGUGCAUGUAUAUUAUAUGUGGUUGAUUUGGAAGUAAGAGAUAUUGAUUUAGAUAUAAUACUAUAAAUUAAUUUAGAAGUACAUUUGUGUGUCAGUUUUUGGGAGGGAGAGCAAUGAGAUUAUUAUUAUUAUAUAUAUAAGGUUUGUGCAUAUGAUCUGGGAAGGUAAUGUCUUCUUUUUAUUGGAACGGAUGGUAUUGAUAUGUAAGGUGUGCAUGGAUUAAACUUGCAAUCAACAUUUUGAAUAAGACUAUAUUGAGUAAUUGAUUCUUAAAAUAGUUGUUAUGGUAUUAUGUACAACUAAAAAAAAAUUUAAUUUAAAUUUAAAUUUGAAAUUUAUAGGAAAUAGUAGUAGUAAUAAUAAUAAAAUUAUAAUUAUAAUUAAUGAGUUUAAUUUAAGGUUUAAAAAAAAUAUAUUUUUUUAUAAAUGUACUUACAUUUAUCAUUAUUUUGUGUAACUAGCUCGAACGGAAGAAGUUUAACGAGUUAUAUUCAGAUUAUAAUUUUGGGUAUGACGUUGCUUAACUCAGGUACGGAUUCCGUACUCUUUCAGCGAUACUCUUGUUAAAUUUGAUUUGUUCGUUUUGUCGCUUGUUCGAAUUUCGUUAUUAUUUCACAUAAUUGUUUCCUGUGAAAUAAAUAAAUUAGUUUCAUUUUGGAGUUGAUAUAUAUGACUCGUAUUUGUACUCUUUGAAUUAGGUUAUCAUGUUUAGUACUAUUUAUUUUUGAUAAUCGACAUGUUGCUACCUUCUUUUUGAGACCUUGUGACUAUCAUUUGAUUUGGUUCAACAUGUACAUAUAGAACCCUUUUGUUUGUAUUAUGUCGCAUGUGUUGUGACAUAGUAUUUUUGUUAGAAUAUACCGUAGGGUAUACCUGUGCUAUAACCACCUGUGGGGGUACCACAUGCAUGUCGUCUUGACACGAGAGGCAUGACACAUUCCGUGACGGUGUAAUUAGUCCACGGCGUCUCCGUUUUGGGCUCCGGAGGAAGUGGGCCAUUUGGUGUUUUGUUGUGGGAGGCGUAUGGGUUAACCCUAGUUUUCUGUUUUGCGGAUUUGUGAUGUUGUGCCAAACACACAUAUCCGAUUUGCAUACAUUUGGAUUCGCGGUCCAAUGUGUGAUUUGCCUGUGUGACAUUAUUUUGACUUGCCUGUGUGGCAUUAUUUUGAUGUGCAUGUGUGGCAUUAUUUUGACUUGCUUGUGUGGCAUCAUUUGACUUGCCUGUGUGGCAUUAUUUUGACUUGCCUGUGUGGCAUUGUUUUGACUUGCCUAUGUGGCAAGGUAUACUUCUGAGCUCAAUCGGUAUGAAAUAACCCCAGCCAUUUGUUUCAGCCUAUUAUUUUAUUGUAUUAGUUUUGUUUGUUUUUGUUCAGUUCAAUUCAUUGAGUUAGUUAUUUCAGUUCGUUAUUUCUUUAUUCUUCUAUUGGUUUCGUCAAUUCUGUUGAUUCAUAUAUAUAUUCCAUUCAGAUCUUUGGAGAUUAUAUUUUCGUCCGUAUUUAUACUUGCGACUUUGUUCAGUAUUUUGUCUCAGUUAUUUUCGUAUAUCAGUUGUAUAUCUUUUGUAUAUCUGUAUUCGUACUGGGCAAUUGACUCAUGCUGUGUUUUUCUUCCGGCAGGUUUGUAGGGGUGAUUCAGGGCUAGUGUGAUGAGAGUAUUGCCUAUGACCAUCUAGGUUGAUUCGAAUUUUAAGUUUUGAUUAUUUUGACUCUGUUUGGAGAAUGGUAUUUAGUACUUCAUUGAUGAAUAUCAUUAUUAAUAUUGUGAAGUUAUUAGUGCUCUGUUUACUUAUUUUGAGGUUUGUUGUGCUUUACACGUGACCUCCCUUCCUUUUCGGGAAGGGGGUGUUACAGAGAUGGUAUCAGAGCUUAGGUUCUUUCUUGUAGAAAACCUAUUUAGGUUUGACCUGUGAGUUGCGGGUAAAUCACUGGGUAGACGUAUGAGUUUGAUUUGAUUUUGUUCUCUGUUUGGUUGGUCUUGAUUUUGACCAAGUGUUUUUAGCUCUUUGAGUUGUAGUUGAUUUGAGAAAGGCGAGAUAAUUUGUUAAGAAUAUUAUUGUUAUGAAUUGGAGCAAUGAUAUUAGUUAAGAAUUUUGAUUUACUCAUUGAGGUGAAUAAAGUUAUACUUUGUAUAGAUAAGGAAUGUUGAAAAAUUAUUUGUUAGAGUUGUUUUUUUUGUGACAAUUAUUAUGAUCGUUGAAUUGAGGAUUUUGAUUUGAGUUAUGUUUUGAUUUAUGUUAAGCUUGUGGAUAAUUUAAGGUUUGUGUAUUGAUGGCAUACUAUGAUAAAAUGAAAGUUAUUAAGUAUACAGGAUCUUUGGUAAAUUUGAGUUAUAGAGAUUCGAGGUAAUUAGAUUAAUCUUUAGGAGUAAAUGAAUUUUGUGAUUAUUUCCUAGUAGAAUAUUGGAGUUAUAUUAUAUGAAAUUUUGAGUGAUAGUAUGAGGAGAUCUUGGAAUUUGUUGGGUUAAGAUUUGCAUUAAGAGAAUGAUUGAUUCAUUGAAUGAUUAGAUAUACAAUAAGUGAUGAAUCUUUAAGAGAUUUUGAAAGCUAUAGCUUGGUUAUUCAAAUAGUAAGAUAUAUGAUUUGGAGUUUGGUAUGGUGAUGAAGAGAUCUUAGUAGUAAUAUAUUUUUGGUGUAAUAUUAUUUGAGAACUAAUUUGAUUCUAGGUUAUGAUAUUUUGAAACUCUUGAGGACUUAGUGAGAGUUGGUGAUAUAAUUUAAGUUGUUUUGUUUAUUUGAUGCCCUUAGAGCUUUGCAUGAAUUUAUGUGAAAUUAAAUAAAAAUAAUUUGUUAAAUCUUUGUCAUUUGUGGAGCAUAAACGUUUUACGAAUUAAAAAUAAUUUUAAAUAUUUUGGGUAUUUGAAUCGUAUUUGGAUGAAGAGAAAUUUUUGUGAUUUUGAAUUAUGUUCCGAAGAGUACGUUUACAAGAAUUAAACUCAAAGAUAUUAGCGACGACCCGCACCAACGAUGGAUCAUGUGAUCUAAUUUGAUGCAACGCGAAUAAACUUACCAAGGCUUGGCACGGUAGCUGACGAAUCUUUUACAAAUACAUUGAUAAUUACGUGGACCGAUGGCUUAUCCGCGUUGAUCGUUACAAAUGGCGGCGCUACGUCGUAACUAAUUAUUUUUUUUUGUAGCUUUUUUGAAUUCCGAGGACGAAAUUAUUUUUAAGGGGUGAAAAAUGUAAUAACCCAUUUUUUUUAAUAAUUAAAUAUUAAUUACUUUUAUUUUAUACAAUUGUAUUUAAAUUGGAAAAGGGUAAAUGAUUUUGUUUCCCUCUUUUCUUCCUUGUUUUUUUUUGGAAAAUUAAAUUCUUUUAGUAGAUAAUUAAAUAACUGAUUAAAUUAAAAUUGAGGAAGAUAAUUCAUUUUGUUAAAGUCUUGUGGUAAAAUCAUUCGGAGCGGGAAGCUACUUGAGAGAUAGAGGAGUCUAUUCGAGCGGAGUAUCCGCAUUUUUUGAUAAUUAGGUACGUUCAUUCUUUUGAUUCCGUGGACGGAAUCAUUUUUAAGGGGUAGGUGAUGUAAUACCUGGUAAAAAAAAUGAAUUGAUAAAUAUUGAAUAAUAAAAUUUUUUUUCUUUUAAAACAUAUUAUUGGACUUUGUUUUUUAUUAUUUGGGCCAAGUUGUGAUUAGGCUAGUUGGACUAAUAAUAACUAGUGGGUAAUAUUAAUUAAUGAGGUUUGGGCCUUAAUAAUAAUUGUAUACGGUUAAAAAAAAUAUAUAAUUAGAGAUAUUAAAUAUUAGGGUUAAGAUCACAUCUUGAAGACUAUUGUAUUUGGUUAAGAAAGUGUGAGGCGAAGAUAAAUUGGAGUUAACUACUGUUAAGAAGAAAAAGAGAAUAAACAGAAAUUUUUUGCUUCUUUUGUGAAAGGAGGAAUUAGAUUUAUAAGGUAAUUCUUUUAUAUUAUUAUCUAUUAUUAAAUGUUGCAAUCAAUUAUUUUGGGUUCUUGUGUUUGUCGGCACUGAAGCCAUUCUGAUGAUUAUUAUUAAUUUUCAUUCGAAUUCAUGUCAUAUAAGCCAUAAGCAUGUGCAUGUAUAUUAUAUAUGGUUGAUUUGGAAGUAAGAGAUAUAUAUAUAUAUAUAUAUAUAUAUAUAUAUAUAUAUAUAUAUGGCAGACUACAUAUAUAGAUAUAAUACUAUAAAUUAAUUUAGAAGUACAUUUGUGUGUCAGUUUUUGGGAGGGAGAGCAAUGAGAUUAUUAUUAUUAUAUACAUAAGGUUUGUGCAUAUGAUCUGGGAAGGUAAUGUCUUCUUUUUAUUGGAACGGAUGGUACUGAUAUGUAAGGUGUGCAUGGAUUAAACUUGCAAUCAACAUUUUGAAUAAGACUAUAUUGAGUAAUUGAUUCUUAAAUUAUGUACAACUAAAAAUUUUUUUUAAUUUAAAUUUGAAAUUUAUCGGAAAUAGUAGUAGUAAUAAUAAUAAAAUUAUAAUUAUAAUUAAUGAGUUUAAUUUAAGUUUUAAAAAAAAUAUUUUUUUUUACAAAUGUACUUACAUUUAUUAUUAUUUUGUGUAACUAGCUCGAACGGAAGAAGUUUAACGAGUUAUAUUCGGAUUAUAAUUUUGGGUAUGACGUUGCUUAACUCAGGUACGGAUUCCGUACUCUUUCAGCGAUACUCUUGUUAAAUUUGAUUUGUUCGUUUUGUUGCUUGUUCGAAUUUCGUUAUUAUUUCACAUAAUUGUUUACUGUGAAAUAAAUAAAUUAGUUUCAUUUUGGAGUUGAUAUAUAUGACUCAUGUUUGUACUCUUUGAAUUAGGUUAUCAUGUUUAGUACUAUUUAUUUUUGAUAAUUGUAGAGCGGUACAUGUUGCUACCUUCUUUUUGAGACCUUGUGACUAUAAUUUGAUUUGGUUCAACAUGUACAUAUAGAACCCUUUUGUUGGUAUUAUGUCGCAUGUGUUGUGACACAGUAUUUUUGUUAGAAUAUACCGUAGUGUAUAACUGAGCUAUAACCACCUGUGGGGGUACCACAUGCAUGUCGUCUUGGCACGAGAGGCAUGACACUUUUCGUGGCGGUGUGAUUAGUCCACGACGUCUCCGUUUUGGCCUCCGGAGGAAGUGGGCCAUUUGGUGUUUUGUUGUGGGAGGCGUAUGGGUUAACCCUGGUUUACUAUUCUGUGGAUUUGUGAUGUUGUGCCAAACACACAUAUCCGAUUUGCAUACAUUUGGAUUCGCGGUCCAAUGUGUGAUUUGCCUGUGUGACAUUAUUUUGACUUGCCUGUGUGGCAUUGUUUUGAUGUUCCUGUGUGGCAUUAUUUUGACUUGCAUGUGUGGCAUCAUUUGACUUGCCUGUGUGGCAUUAUUUUGACUUGCCUGUGUGGCAUUGUUUUGACUUGCCUAUGUGGCAAGGUAUACUUCUGAGAUCAAUCGGUAUGAAAUAACCCCAGCCAUUUGUUUCAGCUUAUUAUUUUAUUGUAUUAGUUUUGUUUGUUUCUGUUCAGUUCAAUUCAUUGAGUUAGUUACUUCAGUUCGUUAUUUCUUUAUUCUUCUAUUGGUUUCGUCAAUUCUGUUGAUUCAUAUAUAUAUUCCAUUCAGAUCUUUGGAGAUUAUAUUUUCGUCCGUAUUUAUACUUGAGGCUUUGUUCAGUAUUUUGUCUCAAUUAUUUUCGUAUAUCAGUUGUAUAUCUUUUGUAUAUCUGUAUCCGUACUGGACAAUUGGCUCAUGUUGUGUUUUUCUUCCGGCAGGUUUGCAGGGGUGAUUCAGGGCUAGUGUGAUGAGAGUAUUGCCUUUGACCAUCUAGGUUGAUUCAAAUUUUAAGUUUUGAUUAUUUUGACUCUGUUUGGAGAAUGAUAUUUAGUACUUCAUUGAUGGAUAUCAUUAUUAAUAUUUUGAAGUUAUUAGUGCUCUGUUUACUUAUUUUGAGGUUUGUUGUGCUUUGCACGUGACCUCCCUUCCUUUUCAGGAAGGGGGUGUUACAGUUGAACUCCUAAAAUAUAGUAGAUUUGAUCUAGGUAGAAAAAUGCUGAAAAACUCACCGGAAACUGUUUGGACCACAGGAGAAGAUGACAAAGAAAGUUGUCGUUGGCGAACUUUCCGAUAUAACCUUUUUUAGCCAUUUUCGACCGUAAUUUGGAAAUAUUUUGGAAUACAAUUUUGUAGAGAAUUAAAUUUAUGUGAAAUGGAUAGAAGAUUCGCAUUUUUCUGAUAAAAUGGCUAAUUAUUAUGAAUAUUUGAAGUUUCAUUAUAUUGGAAAUUAUAAAUAAAUUACUGAAAAUAAUUUUUGGGCUGAAAUAAAUAUAAUGUAGUCUUAUAAUAUUAUUUAUGAAUUACUAUAAAUUUUUGAAGAAUUAUUGGAAAUCAGAAGUAUUUAUUAUAUUUUUAAGCCAUUUAAAGUUGGUUUAAAAUGGUGGAAAUUCAUUGAAAAUUCUAUGAAUGAUAAAAAAUUGUGAAACUUCUAUAAUAUUAAUUCAUAAUUUCUGGAAAGUUUUUGAGAAUUAUUAAAGAGAAAAAGUAAUUAUUGAAUUUUUAAGUUAUUUAAUGUAGUUUAAAAAUUAGUGGAAAUUCAUAGAAAAUUCUAUGAAUGAUGAAAAAUUAUGAAACUUGGUUGAAAAUCCUAUAAUUUUAUUUCAAAAUUUCUGAAAAUAUUUGGAAAAUUAUUUAAGGGCAAAAGUAAUUAUUGAAUUUUUAAAUUAUUUAAAGUUUGUUUAAAAAUUAGUGAAAAUUCAUAGAAAAUUCUAUGAAUGGUGGAAAAUUAUGAAAAUUGCUAGAAAAUCUUAUAAUAAUAAUAAUAAUAAGGAGGAGUUAGCUUUUCUCAAUCUUUAGCUAGCUAAGAAGGAAAAUAAGAGCAUCAAAGGUAAGAAAUCCUAGAAACUCAUCUUCUUCAUUUUAUUUCUUUUAAAAGCUUUGUAGCAUGACAUGACGUGCUUUGUUAGUGGAUGUUGUUGUUUGAUAAUGAUCAUUGAAGGAUCUUGGAGAGAUAAGGCCCCUUGUGGUUUAGAUAUGUUAAAUCACUUGUUAACAUGUAUAAAAACUGAAAACGAUACCUAAAAUAGUAAGCCUAAGCGUAAAGGAGGGAAAAUAAAGUAGAAUACUUUAAUAUUGGACUUGUAAAGGUUUUGUUUGUUUAUUGUUUGUGAAAUUCAACAAUAAGGAUUUUUAGAUAAAUAAGUUCUGGAGAAGUUUCAAUUGGAACAGAGGAAAAAUACGGUAUAACGAAGUUAUGGCAAAAUAUUUCUUAAAAUGUGUCAAUCUUGAAAAAUCCUAGCUUAGUACCCUUUGUGGGCCAAGUGUAUGGGUAGUUAAUUUUUCUAGAAACUAUUUCUUUUAGAGAUAAUUGUAGUUGGGUGAAAACAUGAGCUGUGGGCUUAAGAACGAGCUUAAUCCGACUUCGGAUGAGCAAGUUACGAAGUUUAGAAAAUUUGACGUUAAAGCGCCAUUUCGGUGAAAAAGUGUCUCACGAGAGAGUUUUGAGCCAAUUUCCCGAAAAUUUAGAGAAUUGUGAAAAUUUUCCUGUCCGGGGGAUUUGAAGAAUUUGUUACAAGGAAGAAAUAGAAGCAAGAAUGAGCUCAUUCCGAUAUCGGACGAGUAAGUUAUGAUGUUUCAAAGUAGGCGUGUUGAAAUUGUCUGAAACCAAAAAUUUAUUAAAAUCAAACAUUUUGGCCAAUAAACUCCCUACCUCCCAUCGCCUUGAGCGCUGGUCUAGGCUUAUUUGGAGCUCCUAAAGAGCGGACCACUUUUUAGGCCAAAAAUCAAUCUGAACAUGCUUCACUAAAUCAGGCAUAACUUUUUCAUAUGAAAUUCGAUUGAAGUGAUUCAAGAUGAUAUGAAAAGAUAAGGAGCAGAUAUAAAAUUUUCAUUUAUUAAGUUUUGGGAUUUGAGGUCGGGAGCAAGGUCCAAAUUGGGCAUUUGUAGGGCUGUUAUGCAAUAGGAGGCAAACCAUGAUGGUUUCUUUGAACCAUUGUGGUGGCGAGCCAUGUUUGACUAGUAUUUUAGAGUUCUAAACAUUGGACAUUGGAAAUAUAGUCUAGAGAAAGGUAAACCAAGGAAUAGUAGAUGUAUUGGACGUAUUAAUUGUAUACAAUGGCGUGUCGAUUAAGCGUUCAGGGUAUAAAAGUCGAGCGUACGACGUACGAACAUCGAAACGCCUAUUCGAAUAUUAAUGAACUUAAAUAAUGCUCUGAGUUUAAUGAACCGAACAUUAUAAAACAUGGAAUAGGGUUAUAGUAAACCAUGAGUGACAUUUAUACUUGACUAAUUGAUAUGUCUAUGUGCACUAAAUGUGUAGGACUUUCAAAGGGCAAUUAACGUCAAGGUAUAGAAGACGUUUGCGGUAAGUUUCCUAAACUUGCUUAAAUUUUAUUGAACAAGUAAUCCAACUCCAUUCAACUUUCAUUUGAAUGUCAAUUUUUGAGUAUAUAUUCUUAUGAAUAAUCGUUAUGUACGCUUCGGUUUACACAAUAUUUAUCGAUUGUGCAACCUUCGAACUUAUACAAACUCUCUAUUAAUUGUAUAAGUGUUCAACUAUGCUAUAAUGCCUAAAUUGUUUAACGAUUUUCUAUAAUGCAUAAAUUGUUCAAGUUUUGUAUUAACACAAAUUGUUCAAGUUUUAAAGUUCUUAUAUUCAUGAACUAUUUAAGAGUUAUGUCAAUGACAAUUGUAUUGGCUAGACAAAUGUUAAAACGUUUUAUUGAUUUAAAUACCAUUCUUUGAAAUGUUUUUUGGAUUAGGUAGAGCUGUCCACCCAAAUUGUUUUGGGGUUCAGACUCCAGUCUAAGCUGAACAACCCUAAUAUUGAGGUUUUUUUUACAUCGGAAAAAUUCUGACAAACCCUUGAGGUGGUCUCAUAAACGCAUAUAGUCGUUUAGCCAGAGUGUUGUACAACAUAGGAAACAUUGAGCUGAUCACCCAACGUGCCUGUAAGCCAGACCGGUUCAUAAUUGAAUUAUUGUUGAACCAUUGAGAAAACAAAAAUGUUCGAGGUCUUUUGACCGCUUAGUACGUUGUUUCAAAAAUGUUAGAUAAAAAAGAAAUUUAUUGUUUUUAUUCUUAUUUAUUUGGAAUGCUUUCACAACUAUUAUUCAGUUGUAGCAAUAGUAACAUGAUUCUUGAUUUUGUUGUUUAUUCAACUGUUUAUACUUGUUAAGCUUUGUAGCUUAUCCUUGCUUUAAGUUAAAUAUUUUUCAACGAAACUAGAGCAGAUUGAAGGGUCCUGUAAGGACAAAGGGAAAGGAAAUGUGGACGAGUAGAAGAUAAUUAUAAAUAUCUGUAAUAAUUAGUAGUAUUGUAAUAACUACUUAAUACUUUAUCAUGUGUUGAAGACUUAAAGGUCUGAGAACCUGGGAUUUAGAGUGAGACAUAUUGUAAUAAUUAGAAGUUGCAUUUAUGUCAUUAUAUUAUUUUAGAUGAGAAGUAUUGUGGAGCAUCAUAUUCAAAGUUUAAAAUACUGGAAAAAAAAAAUAUCCCUUACCUCAGAAGAAGACUGGAUAUUGGAAUAGUGAAGUAGCAGACUUAUCUUCUUCUUUCUCUCUAUAGCUUCUCUCUCUAUAAUUGUUCUUGUAAGUCUUAGUGAAUUGGUGAGAAUGAAAAAAGAAUAUGCUUCUAUUUAUAGGAAAAUAUAGUUUCGAUAAUUGCACGUUUUGGGGCACGAAAUAUUACAGUAUAAUACACUCAUCUGUUCCUUCAUUUUUAAUUUAGUACUGCAAGUAUUAUUAAACGUGCACCACCUCCCCUAAUAGUACAUCAUGUGAAUCAAUAGUUCUAUACAUGUGAAAAAAAUAGUUACAGUAUAGUACCUUCAUCUAUACCUCCAUUUUUAAUUUAGUCAUGUAAGUAUUAUCAAUUUUGCGCUACCUCCCCUAAUAGUACAUGCAUGUGAAUCAAUAGUACACGCAUGUGAAUAAAUAGAUAUAAGCAUGUGAAUUAAUAGCAAUUAAUUUCUCAUUUAUCCGAUUAAUUACCCGAUAGGUCAAUAUAACCUCCAAACAUCAAUUAUUAUCGAAAUAGAUGUCGAUUUUCAUUAACACUAAUAAUCCUAACACAAUGAAAAUAUCAAUUUCAUCUUUAAUCAAUACGAACUUAUUCAUCAUUAAUAUUAUAACUCACAAUAUUUAACAACCAGAUCAUUCACAGGAAAGAUGGGGCUUUUCAAUAAGGAUUUUUCCCUAUUGGCGCGCAAUUAGGUGACCAAACCUCUCCUCGACAGAACUUUUUAGACAUUGUCAAUAUUGAAAAUAAUAAUAUGACUAACUUUGUCGUCUAACUUAUUAAUUUAAUAAUAAUAAAUAUUAUAAAGAUGAUACUGUGACAAUAAUUGAAUCAAUAAUAUUAGAGAUAUUAUGCAAUAAUUACUGUAGCAAUAAUUGAGUAUAAAUGAGUGACUUCUCACGUGAGCAUCAAUAAUCAAUACCUUGUGCUACUAUGCAACCACGCGUAUUACUGUACUUUUACCACCGGGUAGUUCAACAGUUUAACGGUAAAACUUUCGCCGUUAAUUUUAUAAAAAGAUAAAUCUGUCAUUUUCUAAUUACGACAAUACUUCUAUUGUGGGGUCCACCAAUGAUUGUGCCGUCGUACGAGCAAUCCCUGUUAAAACGAAUAUUUCCCAACCAACCGAUUAUUUUAUAACAACUUGCUUACUUUGCAAAAUUUAUAAAUAUUACCCACAACUAUAAUAAUAUAACAAAUCCACACCAUAACACCAUAAUAUUCAAAAAUAUAUUUCGAGAAAAAUUAAUCUUUAUUCAUAAAAGUUGGGGUCUUACAAUAUAGCUUCAGACGCUUUAUUGUAAGCUACUUCAGCUGACACUUCUUCCUUCAUAUCCUCUUCAAACUGAAGAUCCAUGCCUAGAUCACUCUCUAUUAGCACAACAGAUUUCAGCUCAGGUACUAGCUCAAGUGGAGAAAUUAGCUCCUUGUUCACUAUGGAAACAUUUUUCAUCUACAUUUAAAUAUAUUAUCUUUAUUAGUACAUAAUAAAAAAUCAUAUUUCAUAUAUCAAAUAACAAUUUAUUUUAUGUUAUCUUUACUUUUUCCUCAAUUUCUUUUGAUGAAUUCCUAUAAUUUAUCUCCUAAAAACUCGUCCUGAGUUUAUCUUCUUACUAUCUUCUCUAUUGCUCUAAUUCCUCCAAGGUUAUAGCCUAAAGUGUUCUCACCUAAGGUUUCUAACCUACAACUCUAAUACCAAUAUGUGACGCUCAUGGAUAUACCAUAACACCUCACAUGGACACCUAUUAGCUAGCCACCUACAACUUAUGGCGUCCUCUACAAAGAGUUUGGCUUUCGUGCCUCCCUUUCUAAGGACGUCACCAGCGAGAAGUUCGGGGCUCUUCACACUAACUUGUGCAUAUAGCUCUAAUACCAACCUGUGACGCCCCCAAAUCUGAGUUUAAGGAAUAAUAUUUUCUUCCAUACUCUGUAGUAUGUGAGUAAAUUAGUAGAAUAUUCUUGAAAUUUGCGCUUCAUCUAGUAUCAUUUCACAAGGAUAUUUUCUGCACGUUCUUGUUAAAUUUUAAGCUUUUCAUGCCGAAGUACUGUCCAUGAGUAGUAUUCAUUUAUACGUUACUAUUCACAAAGUACUAUUCACGGGGUACUAUUCAUGGGUACUAUUCAUAAAGUACUAUUCACAAGUACUAUUCACAAAGUACUAUUCAUGGGGUACUAUUCCUGAAGUACUAUUCAUAAAGUACUAUUCAUUUGGGUACUAUUCACCUGGGGAAUUAUUCAUGACAAAAAUUGAUUUUUUUCAGUCCAAAUCAUUUUUGAUACAAUAUUAUUCUUGAAUUUUACUCCACAAAGCAGUAUCAUGUUGACAAUUUGGACAUUAUGAAUUCUGGAUAAAUUAAAUUAUAAAUAUUUAAAAAUUUAUCAUUUGCUUUCUUUUAAUUGAAUUCUUAUAUCAUUGUCAUCAUCCUCAUGCUUAUAUUGUGAUAAAAGUCAUCUGUGGCUUAUGUGCAUAGAUGUACUAUUGAUUGGUAUGAUUGUGACCAUGGAUUAUUCAGUAUAAUCAUGACCGUAAUAUUACAAAUGAUGUGGUAAAAAUUAUCAUUGGCCUGUAGAGCAUUGAUGGACAGUUGUUGGUAUGAUUAUGACCAGGGAUUAUUCGGUAUAAUCAUAACCAUUGAUGAUUACAUGAAUAUCCUUGGCCCGUAAUGCAGGGAUGAUUCGAUGAUGUGGUUUAUUUAUUAAGCUGAGUCUCAGCGAUAAAGUUGAUGAAAAACCUUUUUAAAUCAUAGAAGAUAGUAGAUAUCAUGUUACUUGACUCUUCUAAUGGAUUUCUUGUUCCGCUGCAGUUAAACUUGAUGUUUAUUGUAUUUUAUCAGUUUAAUACUAUUGAAGGCUAACGAUAAUUUAUUCUGCAUUAUCUUAGUCAUAAUAUUUCUUACUGGGCUAGUUGAGCUCACCCUUUUGCUUUCAUUGUUCUCUUCAGGAAAUGAGAACAUAGCCGGUACUAGUCGGGGAACAGAGUGACGGUCCGAGAUGGUGGCUAUAGUAGUCCUCACUAUUUUAUAAAAUAGUGUGGUAAUAAAUGUAAUGAGGACUUCAUUUGAGUUUGAAUACUGUCUAUGAGACAAUAUUCGUGUAAAAACUCUAAGCUACACUGUUGUCGUAUUUUAUAAAAAAAAGUUUGUAUUUGAUUUAUGUACCAUAUAUUUGGCGACUCAGAAUGGGUGAUGUAUACCUAUUUUGGGGGAGUCAUAUGUAUGUUCUGAGAAGUUAUUUGGAGAUGAACCUAUGGUGAACUUAAGAAGUGAACAUGAAAGUAUCCAGAAAUGGAACUCAAUGAUGAAAUGGAAGUAAAUUCCAAGGAUACUAAUAUAGAGCAAGAAGUAGAGUCAGUAAAUGAAAAAAGGAAAAGUGCAGCAAAAGUUGUGAAUGAUCAACUAAUGAAAGAAGUAAAAGAUCUGAAGCAUAGGGUGUUUUUCUUGGAAGAAAUGUGGGAAAGGAAAAGAUUAUUGAAUAAUCAAUUGGAGAAGGCGUUAAGUGAGAUGACGGAAGAGCAUGGUGAGUUGAAUGUGAGGAUUAACGAAAUGGGAGUUAAAAGCAAUAUAACUGUUGAAGCUCAGAAUAAGAAGAGAAAAGAGAAUUGGAUUGAUAGAUAGGAAAACCAUAAGAAAAUGGUAAAUGAAUGUAAAAAUUAAGGUAGAAACCACAUUGGUGUAUGCUUGAAAGGACAGAAAGUAUGUUUUAAUUGCGGGCAAAAAGAUCAUUUUUCUCCCAACUGCCCCAACCUGAGGAAAAUAGCUUGUCUCAACUGUGGAUCAUUUGAGCAUAUAGUUAAGAAAUGUUCGAUAAAAGAACAAGUAUAAAAUGAUGUAUAAACAUAUGAAUGUUAGAGUGUUCAUGUGUUAUGUGAAUUCCAGCUUGUAAUAUAAAUAACGAGAUAUCUUUUGUAAGUCUUAACUGAUAUAUAAGUUGAGGACUCGGAUAUGUUAAUCUCAUCUUUUGUAUUAAAUAGAUAGAUGAAAUUGUAAUUAGCCAGAAGGCUAAGAAGAAAGAAGUAUAUAAGAAAGAAAGUAGUAAGAGAACAGAAGUAAGUAAAGAAAAGUAUGUAUGUUGAAGCAUAUUAAUAAAGGAUAUUUAUUAAAUAUGCUUGUGAUGAAUGUGUUAACAUUGAAUAAAAAGGAAAUAAAAUAAUAAUAGUAUUAUUUUAUUAACUAGAAGAUGUAGUCGAGAAAAAGGCAUGGAGUACAAGAGAAAAGGUUAAGAAAUGAAAGUGAGAAUGAGAAUAGGGAACAAAUUAAUCCUAUGUAUUAAUUAUGUUGAUUUGGGGUAUGAUCUAUUGUAAUUUUAUAUUAUGAAUUGUUCAAUGUUUAAGUUUUAUUCUAGAGAAUCUAGAAAGUUUUUUUGAGAAUAGAAGAUACAAGUAAGGGUUUAGUCCCUGAUGUGCAUAGUAAUAGAAAAUACUUUGUUAAGGUUGGGGAGCAUGAAGUUAUGAUGGAAUUAAUUCCAAUUUACUGUUAAUGAUUUGAUGAAAAAAUGAUUUGGUUAAUUAACCAUAGAGCAAUGUAGUAAUGCCAGAAGAAGCUAAGUGAACCUUAAUACUGUGAAAUGGUAUAAGGUAGUUUAUGGUGAUAGUAAGUUGUCGAGAUGUUCUCAUUGGUUGAGGUUGAUGAUAUAAACUAGAAAGGCUGUUAAGAAAUAAAUGUGAAGAUUAUUAAGGUUACCUUAUGAAUAUCCAAAGUAUGAAAACAGUAAUAGGUUAGAAAACCAUAAUAAAAGAAAUUAUGAGUGUUUUGUUCGGAUAAAAUACUAGGAUCAAUGAUUUCUUUAAUCUGUUGAAAGGAGUGGAGUAUUUUUUUUAGGAUAAAUUUGAGGAUCGAGUAUUAUCAGUUAAAAAUGAGUAAAGAAAAUGUUCUGAGGAUAUCACUAUGAACUUAUUAUGAUUAUUAUUAGUCUUGGUGAAGUCGUUCAGGUUGAGGAAUGCGUUAGUAGCAUUUAUAGAUUUAUUGAAUAGAGAAUUCAAGCUAUAUUGGACAAAUUGCUAAUAAUAUGUAUAGGUGAUAUCUUGGUCUAAUCUAAGACACAUGAAUAUCAAAAGGAACACUUAGGAAUUGUGUGGAAAGUAUUAAGGAAAGAGAAUCAAUAUACAAAGUUCAUAAAGUGUGGAUUAGGUAUGGAAUUAGAAGGUUCAAAGGUUGUUGAACAUUUGAUCAAGAAGUAUGGAAUUAGAAGUAAGAUGUUCAAAAGAGUCGGAUGAGGAGUUAUAUAGGGGAGAAUUGUCUAGCUAAACUACGUAGAAUGAAGAAGGCACAAUCUCAAAGAUGAGAAGUGUAGUCAGAUAAGGCAAAGAAUUGCCAAAGGUAAAGAGAAGUAUGUUUAUACUUAAUAAUGAAAAAGUGUUACGAUUUGAAGGAUUAAUUUGAUUUCCAAUAGUAUUGGAGCUAAAAUAAGAAGUCACAGGAUGUGUUAGUAAGUGUUCGACUUGACAGAGACUUGAGGCUAAAUGAUGAGGAUUAGAUGAUUUGUUAAAAAAAUCCAGGAUAGAAAUGGGAGUAUAUCAUUAGAAAUUUUGUGAAAGAAUUUCCAGUUAUGUAAAGGGAGUUCAUUGUUUUAUGAAGUAUAGUGAUCAUUUAAUGAAGUUGAUAUAAUUAAUACCAGUGAUGUAGUUAAACUUCAUGUCAAAUGGAAUUAGAAUAAUUAGUUAAACUUUAUGCUAAAAAAAAUUGUUUCAAGACAUGGAGUGUCAGUUUUGAAUGUGUUGGAUUAGAUCCGCAUUUCACGUCAAACUUUCGAGGGAGUUUACAAGAGAAAAUGGUAUCAUCCUCAAACAGAAGAGUAGAGCAAGCAGACAUGCGUGAUGCCUUAUGAAACGUUAUACAAUAGAAGAUGCAUAAUUUGUUCACGUGUCGUUAUUACGACCCUAUGAGCAAUAUUGUAAGUAUGUAAUUGAGUAGGAACCUAUCCAGGUUAAAAAGGGCUUAACAUAUGGAUAAAUUCCUAGGGAAGAGCAAAUUUUAAGAAAUAAAAUUAUAUCUUCUGUGAAGUAGUAUGGAGGAACCACAAUUAUAAGAAUAGAUCAUGAUCGUAGAAUAUCUUUGUAAUAAGAUAAUUAAUAUUUAUUAAAUAAAAUAAAUAUUUUAAUGGAAUAAAUUGUGUAUUAUGAGUUUUUAGGUUGAUUAAUGACCUAGUUUAUGUGUUACAUGACUAAAUAUGAGUGUUUAAAAUUUGUGGAAGAAAAUAAAUUUUUUCGAGAAAAACGCAAAAUCACUAUUCAUAAAUCGUAGGAAACAUUUUUUUUUUCAUUUUUUGAACUUUUCGAAUUACGGCAUAGCGUUUAUUUGGAAAAUGGAGACGAAAUCUCCAAUAACAAUAUUUUUAUCAGAAAAGACGUAAAAUCACUUUCACGCUAAAAACACAACUUCAUUUUUUAUGAAUUUUCGAAGAGUAACAUAGCGUUUAUUGGGGAAAGAUGGAACACUAGCGAAAUUAGAUUAUCGAAAAUCGAAAGUCGAUUUUUCGGCUAACCGAGCAUGUUACGAAAACGUAACCGAAAAAGUUAGAAAAAUCUAACUAGAAAGAAAUCGGGUAACCGACUUAAUUCGGGAAGUAAACCCUAAUCAAUUGUACGAAAAGGGCAAAAAGGACAUUUUGCUGACCAUAUGAAUUAUGAAAGUUAACUAAAAAGAAAAUACGAAAUUAAAUUAACUUUGGUCUAGCCAAGCCAAGGGUUUCAAUGGCUUGGCUAGAAAAGGAAAGGGGCUUGGCUAGGUUAGGGAGGCUUAAGCCUUGAAGCCAUGACUUGAAGACUUAAGCCAAUUAUUGCAAGACGUGGAGCCAAAGUGUAAGACAAACUUGGAGCCAUAGACUUGGGAGGGCAUGUGUCAUUUGUGAGAAAUUAAGCACAUUGGACAAGAGAGGAUAUAAAGGCUAUGAGUCACGAGCUAGGACGUACAAGUGUGUCUUGAAAAUUAAUUAGGAUGUGGUUAAUUGAAUGUGAAAAAGCUAAAAGGAGAAGGAAGGAAGAGGAGGGGGCUGGGCAUGUGAGGAAAGGAGAUAAGGUUGGAUGGAAAACUUCUAUAAAUGGUAAGUUUUAUCUCUUGCAAGUAUGCUUAAGCAUUAAUUCUUUGGUGGAAAUAUGUCACUUGCUAGGAAAUAAGCAUGUGAGGAAUUGAAAUAAGUGAAAGGGGAAGGAGGGACAUCCGGCCAAUUGAGGAGCAAAGGGGGGAGUAUUGUGCUGACUCACCUAGUAUAAGUGGUAAGGGUAUUAAAUUGUAGCUUAUCUUUUUUUCCAUCUUCAUCCAUAUAUAAUUUCUCAAGUGUCAUUUCUUUAUUCCUUAAUCCAUCAUGAGUUAUAUAGUCGAAUCCUAGAGUAUGGUUAGGUUAGUUGGUGGGAGAUGAGAUGAUUUAAUUCUCUACACUUAGCCAUUUCAUUCAUUUCAUUUCUUAAGUCUAGAGAGAAAAGAGAGAGCAAGAGAAAGAGAAGCAAAAGAGUUUAGUGAGAUAGAGAGAGUAGUCGAAUAGAAGAAGAAGAAGAUGGAGUAAGCUUUUCUCAAUCUUUAGCUAGCUAAGAAGGAAAAGAGGAGCAUCAAAGGUAAGAAAUCCUAGAAACUCAUCUUUUUCAUUUUAUUUCUUUUAAAAGCUUUGUAGCAUGAUAUGAAAUGCUUUGUUGUUCAAUGCUUUAGUUUGAUAAUUAUCAUUGAAGGAUCUUGGAGAGAUAAGGCCGCUUGUGGUUUAGAUAUGUUAAAUCACUUGUUAAUAUGUAUAAAAAGUGAAAAUGAAACCUAAAAUCACAAGCCUAAGCGUAAAUAAUGGAAAACAACAUAGAGGACUUUAAUAUUGGACUUAUAAAUGUUUUUUUUGUUUAUUGUUUGUGAAAUUUGACAAGAAGGAUUUUUAAAUAAGGAAGUUAUGGAGAAGUUCCAAGUGGAAUGGAGGAAAAAUACGUUAUCACGAAGUUAUGGCUAAUUUUUUCGUAAAAGGUGUCAAAUGUGAAAAAUCCUAGCUUGGUACCCUUUGUGGGCCAAAUGUAUGGGUAGUUAACGCUUCCGUGAAAUUAUUUCUUUCUGGGAUAAAUGUAGUUGGGUGAAAACGUGAAUCGUGGACUCAAGAACGAGCUCAAUCCGACUUCGGAUGAGUAAGUUACGAAGUUUAGAAAAUUGGACGUUAAAGCGUCAUUUCAGUAUAAAACUGGCUCAUGAGGGAGUUUUGAGCCGAUUUCCUGAAAAUUUAAAGAAUUGUGAAAAAAUAAAUUGUCCUGGGGGAUUUGAAGAAUUUGUUACAAGAAAGAAAUAGACACAAGAACGAUCUUAUUCCGAUAUCGAACUAGCAAGUUAUGAUGUUUCAAAGUAGACGCAUUGAAAAUUUUCAAAACUGAAAAUUUGAAAAAAUCAAACAUUUUGGCCGAACAACUCCCUGCCUCCCAGAGGCUAGAGCUCUUGUCUAGGCUUAUUUGAAGCGCCUAGAGCUCUAGCCACUUUUUAGGCCAAAAGUCAGCCUGGACAUGCUUCACUAAAUCAAGAAUAACUUUUUCAUAUGAACUCCGAUUGAAGUUAUUCAAGAUGAUUCGAAGAGAUAAGGAGUAGAACUAGAACUUUCAUUCUUUAAGUGUUGAUAAUUGAGGUCGGGAACAAUUUCCAAAUUGGGCAUUUGUAGGGCUGUUGUGCAAUAGGUGGCAAACCAUGGUAGUUUCUUUGAACUAUUGUGGUGUCGAGCCAUGUUUGACUAGCAUUUUCGAGUUCUAAACAUUGAACAUUGAGAAUAUAAUUUAGAGAAAGGUAAACCAAGGAAUGGUAGAUGUAUUGGAUGUAUUAAUUAUACUCAAUGGCGUGUCGGUUAAGCGUUCGAUGUAGAAAAGUCAGGUGCACGACGUACGAAUGUCGAAACACCGAGUCGAAUAUUAAUGAACUUAAAUAAUGCUCAGAGUUUAAUGAAACUAGCUUUAUAAAACAUGGAAUAGGAUUAUAGUAAACCUUGCGUGACAUUUAUACGUGACUAAUUGGUAUGUCUAUGUGCACUAAAUGUGCAGGACUUUUAAAGGGCGAUUAACGUCAAGGUAUAGAAGACGCUUGAGGCAAGUUUCCUAAACUUACUUCAACUUUAUUGAGCAAGUAUUCUAACUCCAUUCAAAUUUUGUUUGAAUGUCAGUUUUUGAGUAUAUAUUCUUAUGAAUAAUUCUUAUGUACGCUUCGGUUUACACAAUAUUUAUCGAUUUUGCAACCUUCAAACUUGUACAAACUCUCGAUUAAUUGUUUAAGUGUUUAGCUAUGCUAUAAUGCAUAAAUUGUUUCACGAUUUGCUAUAAUGCAUAAAUUGUUCAAGUUUUGUAAUAACAUAAACUGUUCAAGUUUUAAAGUUCUUAUACUCAUGAAUUGUUUAAGUGUUAUGUCAAUGACAAUUGUAUUGGUUAUAUACAUGUUAAAAUAUUUUAUUGAUUUGAAUACCAUUCUUUGACAUGUUAUUUGGAUUAGGUAGAGCUGUCCACCCAGAUUGUUUUGGGGUUCGGACUCCAGCCUGAGAUGAACAACCCUAAUAUUGGGGGUUUUUUUACGUCAAAAAAAUCCCGACAAACCCUUGAGGUGGUCACACAAACACAUAUAGUCGUUUAGCCAAAGUGUUAUACAACAUAGGGUACACUGGGCUGAUCACCUAACGUGCCCGUAAGCCAGAUCAGUUCAUAGUUGAAUUUCUGUUGAACCCUUGAGAGAACAAAAAUGUGCGAGGUCUUUUGACCGUUCAGUAUUUCGUUUCAAAAAUGUUAGAUAAAAAAGGAAUUUAUUAUUUUUAUUCCUAUUUAUUCGGAAUGUUUUCACAAUUAUUAUUCAAUUGUUGAAAUAGUAGCGUGAUUCUAAAUUUUGUUGUUUAUUCAAUUGUUUAUACUUGCUGAACUUUAUAGCUCACCCUUACUUUAAAUUAAAUAUUUUUCAGCGAAGCUAGAGCAGAUUGAAGGUUUCGGUAAGGACAAAGGGAAAGAAAAGGUGGACGAGUAGAAGAUAGCUGUAAAUAUUUGUAAUAAUUAGUAGUAUUGUAAUAAAUACUUAAUACUUUAUCAUGUGUUGAAGACUUAAAUGUUUGAGAACCUGGGAUUUAGAGUGAGACAUAUUAUAAUAAUUAGAAGUUGCAUUUAUGCCAUUCUGUUAGAUGAGAAGUACCAUUGAACAUUAUAUUCACAGUUUAAAGGUACUCAGAUUUGGGGCAUCACAAGCAGCGCUGCAUAGCAGCCACGCGCAUGCACAACGCGUCACACGUCGCCCGCACGCUGCCUAAUCGCUCUUAUUUCUAGCUUUGGUGAUCUCAACGCCCUUACUUUGGCACUUCUUAACUAGGUUGUAUGAACUCAGAAUUAGUCCGUUCUUGAGGCUAUAAUUGGUUGGGAUUGCACUUUACAAAACCCCACAAUAUCAUAAUUUUUUGGAAACUCUAAAUAGUCAAAACAGUGGUCCAAAAGUCCCCUCUUGCGCUGAUUUGUAGUUUGGCAGUUUUGAUGCGCCUACUUCUGAACGUCAUAACUCAUUCGUCCAACAUCGAAAUGG